CGGGGUGAGUAACGCGUGGAUAACCUGCCUCACACUGGGGGAUAACAGUUAGAAAUGCUGCUAAUACCGCAUAAGCGCACAGUACCGCAUGGUACAGUGUGAAAAACUCCGGUGGUGUGAGAUGGAUCCGCGUCUGAUUAGCCAGUUGGCGGGGUAACGCCCACCAAAGCAACGAUCAGUAGCCGACCUGAGAGGGUGACCGGCCACAUUGGGACUGAGACACGGCCCAA
rnacentral:rRNA from 1 species